rnacentral:tRNA from 1 species
GUUGAAUGGUAGAGCAUGGCGCUUGUAACGCCAGGUUUGUGGGUUCGAUUCCUAC